GGAAUGGGGAGCAGUGGCAAGGAGCUUGCAGAUACCGCAUGGCUUGAGCAAAGACCUCGGGUUCCGAAGAUGCAGGAUUAAAGGGCUUCCCUGGUGGCACAGUGGUUAAGAAUCCGCCUGCCAAUGCAGGGGACACGGGUUUGAGCCCUGGUCCGGGAAGAUCCCACAUGCCGCAGAGCAACUAAGCCCGUGUGCCACAACUACUGAGCCUGCGCUCUAGAGCCCACGAGCCACAACUACUGAGCCCUCAUGCUGCAACUACUGAAGCUCGCGCGCCUAGAGCCCGUGCUCCACGGCAAGAGAAGCCAGCGCAAUGAGAAGCCUGCACACCGCAACGAAGAGUAGCCCCCGCUCGCCACAACUCCUAGAAAGCCCACGCGCAGCAACAAAGACCCAACGCUGCCAAAAAUAAAUAAAUAAAAAAAUUUUAAAAUUUAAAGAAAAAAUUGUAAGAAGUAAAACAAGGCACGUCUGCAGCUCAGGGUUGGCCUGCCUGGACUUCAGCACAGAUUCAGCCCUGUCUGCCCAUGAUCUUAUGAAAACGCCACUUAAGCCUGCUGUGAGCAGACCCCCUGGACGCUCUUCUUUGCAUGUGCCUGAGCCCCAGAGAUCCCUCCGUGUUACUGGCCAGCUGGGGGCUCCUCAGGGCGGGACCCUGCCUGGCCCACCUCCCUCACCUGCUUCUCCCUGAGGAGCAAGGGCUGCCCAAAGAUUCUUUACCAAACUGAUCCUGCAGCCAGUCUGGAAGGAGAUGGAGAGCGAGGCGGGGGGUCUCUGCGCCUCUCAGCACCAGGUCCCAGGCCAGCCGCGCGGUACUCUCUUCCCGCUUUGAGUUUGGCCCCAGACUUGGGAGCCGACUUUCUCAAAAGCCCCUCCCACCCCUUGAACCUAGAGGUCAGGGUGGGAAGAGCAGCGCAACAGCCUGGCUUCCAAGGCAGCUUCCGGCAGCAUCCGCCCCGGCGCUGAGAUUCCCAACCUCAGCCCUGAAAAUCUGCACCUAGUUCCUGGCCCCUUUCCGGACGGCUUAUGCGCUAACCAGCAACGUGCGUUUGUGCGCAAGCCCGCGCCCUGCUCUGGGGCUCCAGCGGUCAGCCCUGGGCUCCUCCAGAUCCAGGUGUGACUUCCCAGGCGGACGGUUCCUGUGCACAGUGAGGGGCGUGUGACGGUAGUUCCUCGGGCUUCAGGCCUUGACUGAGAAGGGAAGGGGGUUUCUCUCUUCCCCUUUCCAGAAACAUAUACAACAGAAAUAGAAACCAACUGCUCCGCCCUCUAAUACUUGUCUGCUGCCAGCCCGUCAUCUCGCAGGACCACGGACACUGGAACACAAUGACCACGGUGACGCCGGCUCCUUUCCUAGUUCCCUAAGGAGCCUUGGGCCACGGCCUCUGCUGAUUGGUCACAAUCCAGAAGAGUGGUUCUUAACCUGGCUGCACACUCAGAUCACCUGGUGAGCUUUAAAAAACACCAGCGCCUUCUUCCAGGACAGUGAAAUCCAAAGUGCCAAAGAAGAACUCGGCCCACACCCUAGAAUGCAGGCCUCUGGAGAGAGGGAGGUGCUCUGAGAAGCAAGCUACAAUGCGGGCAGGUCCUGGGGCACAGCUGCCUGGCUUCACACCCAGGACACGGGGAAGGCAUGGCGGGUUGU